rnacentral:lncRNA from 1 species
GUUUAUCUCAGAGUUGCCAGAUGCCCAUCCACUUGGGAUUGUCCUGAAUUUUAUUACAUUGUCCUGUUUACAGUCCUUACAGGGCACACCGUGGCCUGAGACUAGAUAGGAGAUGGGUGUUCAUGACGUUUCUACAUCCUGGCAUACCAAGAUCUGUUGGCUGUUUCAUUCUGUGGCCACUGUUGACCCUUUCCUUACCCUGAUGGCUUGGUGGACCUGGAGAGCUGAAAACGUGUCAAAGUUGGUGUCAGAUCUGGGUUUUCAUCCUGACUCUGCUGCUUAUGACCUUCAAGUCCCCACCAGCAUCCUCAUCUAAUAGCAACCCUAAUAGUAACCCCACCAUGUGACUGUGGCGACUGAAGAAGAUAGCUUUUGGAAUGUGUUCUGAUGCAUGCUAAAUGUGACCUCUUUUCUAUUCUACUAGCAUAGGGUGUCCUCUCUCUCCCACUGUGUGGCGAGCUAAGUGUACAAAGUGAAUUCCCCACUAGAAUAUAAUCUCCUAAAGAUAAGAAGAUGCCUGUUUUAUUUAUUGCUCUACCUCCAAGUUCUGGAACAAUGCCUGGUGACAGUGAAUACUUAAUGUAUGUUGGACAAAUGAAUUAAAGUAUACUUUCACGCUUCUUGCA